AUACGGAGGGUGCAAGCGUUGCUCGGAAUCACUGGGCGUAAAGGACGCGUAGGCGGGAUGCCAAGUCUGAUGUGAAAUCCUAUGGCUCAACCAUAGAACUGCAUUGGAAACUGGUAACCUAGAGUAUGGGAGGGGGAGAUGGAAUUAGUGGUGUAGGGGUAAAAUCCGUAGAUAUCACUAGGAAUACCGAAAGCGAAGGCGAUCUCCUGGAACAUUACUGACGCUAAGGCGUGAAAGCGUGGGGAGCAAACAGGAUUAGAAACCCCGGUAGUCC
rnacentral:rRNA from 1 species